rnacentral:rRNA from 1 species
UUGCCCUAGUAACGGCGAGUGAAGCGGCAACAGCUCAAAUUUGAAAUCUGGCUUCGGCCCGAGUUGUAAUUUGCAGAGGAAGCUUUAGGCGCGGCACCUUCUGAGUCCCCUGGAACGGGGCGCCAUAGAGGGUGAGAGCCCCGUAUAGUUGGAUGCCUAGCCUGUGUAAAGCUCCUUCGACGAGUCGAGUAGUUUGGGAAUGCUGCUCAAAAUGGGAGGUAAAUUUCUUCUAAAGCUAAAUACCGGCCAGAGACCGAUAGCGCACAAGUAGAGUGAUCGAAAGAUGAAAAGCACUUUGAAAAGAGGGUUAAAUAGCACGUGAAAUUGUUGAAAGGGAAGCGCUUGUGACCAGACUUGCGCCGGGCGGAUCAUCCGGUGUUCUCACCGGUGCACUCCGCCCGGCUCAGGCCAGCAUCGGUUCUCGCGGGGGGAUAAAGGCCCUGGGAACGUAGCUCCUCCGGGAGUGUUAUAGCCCGGGGCGUAAUGCCCUCGCGGGGACCGAGGUUCGCGCAUCUGCAAGGAUGCUGGCGUAAUGGUCAUCAGCGACCCGUCUUGAAACACGGACCAAGGAGUCAAGGUUUUGCGCGAGUGUUUGGGUGUAAAACCCGCACGCGUAAUGAAAGUGAACGUAGGUGAGAGCUUCGGCGCAUCAUCGACCGAUCCUGAUGUUUUCGGAUGGAUUUGAGUAGGAGCGUUAAGCCUUGGACCCGAAAGAUGGUGAACUAUGCUUGGAUAGGGUGAAGCCAGAGGAAACUCUGGUGGAGGCUCGCAGCGGUUCUGACGUGCAAAUCGAUCGUCAAAUCUGAGCAUGGGGCGAAAGACUAAUCGA